rnacentral:rRNA from 1 species
UACGAAGGGUGCAAACGUUGCUCGGAAUUAUUGGGCGUAAAGCGCACGUAGGCGGCAUUGCAAGUCCCAUGUGAAAUCCCACGGCUUAACCGUGGAAGUGCAUGGGAAACUGCAGUGCUUGAGUACUUAAGAGGAUCGCGGAAUUCCCGGUGUAGAGGUGAAAUUCGUAGAUAUCGGAGGAACACCAGUGGCGAAGGCGGCGAUCUGGGAAGAUACUGACGCUGAGGUGCGAAAGCGUGGGAGCAACAGG